ACUCCUUCACAAGUUUAGGA
rnacentral:snRNA from 1 species